rnacentral:rRNA from 1 species
AUUGAACGCUGGCGGCAGGCCUAACACGUGCAAGUCGAGCGGGGUUUUCGGACCUAGCGGCGGACGGGUGAGUAAUGCGUAGGAAGCUACCCGAUAGAGGGGGAUACCAGUUGGAAACGACUGUUAAUACCGCAUAAUGUCUACGGACCAAAGUGUGGGACCUUCGGGCCACAUGCUAUCGGAUGCGCCUACGUGGGAUUAGCUAGUUGGUGAGGUAAUGGCUCACCAAGGCGACGGGCCCUAGCUGGUUUGAGAGGAUGAUCAGCCACACUGGAACUGAGACACGGUCCAGACUCCUACGGGAGUCAGCAGUGGGGAAUAUUGGACAAUGGGCGCAAGCCUGAUCCAGCCAUGCCACGUGUGUGAAGAAGGCCUUCGGGUUGUAAAGCACUUUCAGUAGGGAGGAAGCGUUGUGUGUUAAUAGUACACAGCGUUGACGUUACCUACAGAAGAAGCACCGGCUAACUCUGUGCCAGCAGCCGCAGUAAAAC